rnacentral:rRNA from 1 species
GUGCGAGACCGAUAGCGAACAAGUACCGUGAGGGAAAGAUGAAAAGAACUUUGAAAAGAGAGUUAAAGAGUACCUGAAACUGCUGAAAGGGAACCGAAUCGUUUCCAGUGUCUAUAAUCCAUGGUAUAUUUCAUUGGUGUGUAAGUGCGUGCAGCGUUUUGGAAGUAGUUUUCUGCUCCUGUCGUUGUUGUGCAUUUGCCUGCUGGUGCCCUGUGCUGUGGUGGGACGUCAGAGUCAGUUCGUGUGUUGCGGGAAAUGGUUAUUGGGGAGGUAGGUCACUUCGGUGGCUGUUAUAUCCUGGUAACUAGUCGUCGUGGCUGAGACUGAGAUGCCUACAACGCGCUUUCGAGUCUGCGGGCUUCUCGUGUGGCUGUUUGCUUUGAUAGCUUGCUAUGUUGGUGAAUAAGUCGUGCGAUUGAGACCUGUAGUAACUUGUUGCUGUUCGGGACUUUGA